GUAUUGUAUGACAGGAGAGAAGGUUAGCACUCUGCUUGACAAGGAUGGAAGAGGCCCUUGGGUCUGCCAGCAUGCAUACAGUUAAGGUCCUGCCACCUACUUUGAGGCAUCAAUCAGGAGCCAUAG
rnacentral:ncRNA from 1 species